GAUGAAGAACGUAGCGAAAUGCGAUAAGUAAUGUGAAUUGCAGAAUUCAGUGAAUCAUCGAAUCUUUGAACGCACAUUGCGCCCGCCAGUAUUCUGGCGGGCAUGCCUGUUCGAGCGUCAUUACAACCCUCAGGCCCCCGGGCCUGGCGUUGGGGAUCGGCGGAGCCCCCCGUGGGCACACGCCGUCCCCCAAAUACAGUGGCGGUCCCGCCGCAGCUUCCAUCGCGUAGUAGCUAACACCUCGCAACUGGAGAGCGGCGCGGCCACGCCGUAAAACACCCAACUCUUCUGAAGUUGACCUCGAAUCAGGUAGGAAUACCCGCUGAACUUAAGCAUAUCAAUAAGCGGAGGA
rnacentral:misc_RNA from 1 species